CGUGUAGGCGGGAAAGUAAGUCGGGCGUGAAAUCCCCAGGCUCAACCUGGGAACUGCACUCGAAACUACUUUUCUUGAGUGUCGGAGAGGAAAGCGGAAUACCUGGUGUAGAGGUGAAAUUCGUAGAUAUCAGGUGGAACACCAGUGGCGAAGGCGGCUUUCUGGACGAUAACUGACGCUGAGACGCGAAAGCGUGGGGAGAAAC
rnacentral:rRNA from 1 species